GCAGGCGCCUUGAGGAGCCCGUUCGGCUGCAGGAGGUGCUGCGGAUCUGCAGCUUAAGAAGAGAGCUCGGUACGUUGCCUUAUGCUUUCCUGUCACCUCUGUGCUACUGAGGCUCACGUCAGUUGGCCCUUGUCUCUGCUUGCCUCGUCUGAAGGAAUCAGUCAUGGCCGAUGACUCUCAAAGAAACUUCCGCUCGGUGUAUUACGAAAAAGUGGGGUUUCGUGGAGUUGAAGAAAAGAAGUCACUGGAAAUUUUGUUAAAAGAUGACCGACUGGAUAUUGAGAAGCUUUCCACCUUCAGUCAGAGGUUCCCUCUCCCAUCCAUGUAUCGUAUACUGGUGUGGAAGGUUCUUUUAGGAAUUAUUCCUCCUCACCACAAAUCCCAUGCGUUGGUGAUGAACUACCGGAAGGAGCAGUACUGGGAUAUCCACCACGCUCUUCAUGUCAUUCGUUUUAUCAAUGACUCUACCCCACAGGUAGAUGUUUUCCUCCGCAUACAUCAACUGGAAUCAGGAAAACUGCCUCGAAACUUGGCUUAUCCUUUAGAACCAGAGGAUGAAGUGUUCCUUGCAAUUGCUAAGGCAAUGGAGGAAAUGGUGGAGGAUCCUAUAGAAUGCUAUUGGCUUGUCAGUUGCUUUGUGAAUCAGCUUAACAGCAAGCACAAAGAUUCAUUACAACAACUACCAAAAAUUCUGGAGCAGUAUUUGAACAUUGAAGAUAGUAAGCUUCUGAUGCAUCUGAAGGCAUGUGCUGCGAUGAGCAAGCUCCCUUAUGAUCUUUGGUUUAAGAAGUGUUUUGCAGGCUGCUUACCUGAGUCCAGUUUACAGAGGGUUUGGGACAAAGUUAUUAGUGGAUCCUGCAAAAUUCUUGUUUUUGUUGCUUUGGAGAUACUGUUAACCUUUAAAAUGAAGAUAAUCGCACUGACCACUGCAGAAAAGAUCACCCAGUUUUUGGAAAAUGUAAAUUUGCAGGCAAAUGCAAAAGAGGCAUCACAAAUCUGAGACGGAGAAAGACAUCACAAUGACCAGGAGACAAUAGAAGCAACACUGGAGUGUUCACUUUGGAGAGUGAAAGCCCCUCCCUCUUCUUCCCAUACCGAAUAUCUUUGUGGUCUUGGCAAACAAGAAAAAUAACCUUGCUUCGGUCCAGUUCUCCCCUCAAGCCCUUCCCUCCAGAGAGCUUGAGAGGAAUGCCACAUCUGUGCUCUCUCAUGUUGGUUGCACGCACCAGUUCUUGUUCAGUUAUAGUCCAAAUAUCUGAUGGAAAUUCCAGAUAAGAAAAGUAAUGGCAGAUGUCAGAGCACAGUGCUUGAAAAAUGAUUGUAGAAUUGUAGAAUGGUUUGGGUUGGAAGGGACCUGUAAGAUCAUCUAGUUCCAACCCCCUGCUAAAGGCAGGGACACUUCCCAUUAGAACAGGUUGCUCACAGCUCCAUCCAGCCCACCCUUGAAUGCUUCCAGGGAAGGGACAUCCACAACCUCUCUGGGCAACCUGUUCCAGUGUCUCACCACCCUAACAGUAAAGAAUUUAUUUCUAAUAUGUGCUCGAAAUGAUGAGUAAUUUGAACUCUAGUGAUGGGUUUGAAAACAUGGAAAGAAAUGGAAGAGAGUGUGGAGUUAAGUGUCUGAGAUAUAACUCGGAGGUUGGUAAAAUAACAGUGAUACAUCAGAUGUCUGUGGGUAGGAGAUCAAUUGGUAAAAACUGGGUUCUUGUAGUUGCAUGAGGAAAUGCCUUCACAGUGUAGUUGCCUUCACAAGAUAGUUAUGCAGGCCUGAGUGUCCUGGCAGUGCUUAGGUUUGUUGUUCCUGGCUGGAAAUCCAUGCACUGAAUAAGAGGGCUACUGUUCUGUGUGCUGUCCUGUCUCACCUUGCAGUGGAUAGGGCAAGUUGGUAUCAAAUAAUGGGUUUCACAAAAGCCAGUCUGAAGUUCUCAGAUGUUUCCUAGCUGAGAAGUGCAGAGAAAUGCUCUCUGUUAGGCAGGUUUUUGGUACAGCAGGAGUGUGGGGGAAUGGAGUUGCUCCUCUUUCAUAUACUAAUUGUUAAUCCAGGUUGUAGGUGGAGAUCUGGGAGCAGAAUCUGCCUGGGUAUGUGUCUUGUCCAGUGCUGUCUACUACCUGGAGACCAGUUUGCUUCCCCGCAGUGGUCCACAUUAGGAGAGGUGGAAAUGCUCCUCACCUGGGGCUGCAAUCCCUGCACCUCACAGCCUGUAGAUGUCCAGGUUCCUCUUUCUCAGGGGCUGACUCUCACCAUCCAAACUGAGGGGUCAUAGACUGGCUCUCCUAGUGGAGCAGAUUGCAGCGUCCCACUUAUCAUAGAACCAUGGAAUCACUAAGGUUGGAAAGGCAAAUAAGAUCAUCUAGUCCAACCAUCAACCCGUCACCAUCACACCCACUAACCCAUGUUGAGCGCACUACAGCCAGUCUAGUUUUUGUGGGGCUAAAUUUGAAAAUCUAGCCAAUCCAACUCUGCUGGUGUUGUGCAGGGCUGCUGUCUGGCAUCAGGGGGCUUCCAGUGCUUCUGCAGGAUUUGCUCUGUGGACCUCAGUGUGUUUCUCCCCAGCCUCCGAAACGUACGUGCAUAGUGGCCAUUAUUUUAUACUGAAGAUGAGCUGUGUGUGUUUGAAGCUGGCUUCUAGUUGCCACCUCUCAGGUCUGAUGAAUCCAUGUAUGCAAAGCUUGGACACUCAUCAAAUAGAAGCUAAAAUAGAGAUUAUUGUGUCUCACAUCACAGUAACAAAGAAUGCCGGAAGAGGGUGACUGCAAGCUGCACCUUGCUGUUGGGUGUUUCUGUGGGCCUACCAUCAGAGGGCACAUUUCUCAAAGUGGUUUGAAGCAGCUGACAAAUGUGAACUGGUUCCUGGAGGCUGUGUCUGUUGGAGAGCUGAUUUUUUUUUUUCCUGCCCUCCUCUUGGUUUCCUGCCUGCAGGUGGCAUUAGAUAGCAAUUUGAUUGCGGGUAAUGAGUGGACUUCGCUUCUCUCUUUCCUUAGGCUAGUUUUACAAAAAGCUGAAGUCAAAAUGUAAAAACACAGCCCUUGUGUAAGGAUCCCUGUGCAAGAGGUGGGCUUUACCUUCUCACAUUCCUUGUACAUUGCAGCCCAACCAAAAAUGUUUUUCUUUUUACACAUGGAAAUUCCUGUAUGUAAUCAAAUCAUGAUAUGAUCUUGCUUUGGAAUCAGUAGGUAGUUGGGGGGAAAGGGAUCUUUCGUCAAAAACAAUGAUUUAAAAAAAAAAAAAGAUAGCUACUGACUUCUUGGCUUCUAGAAUGGAAAUACAUGCAAACAAAAACAAUUGGAAAGAGGUGAGUGAAAACAUACCCAAAUGGAAGCAAACAGAGAAGCCCAGUACCAGGCUUUUGAUCAUGGUAUGUAUCCAUGGCAGCAAGACAAAUCAGCAGAAUUUGGUCAGUUAAAGUAAUGCUUUCCAGCUACUGAAACUACUCCUGGGAUUUGGGUUGGAGAAAUCAGAAGACGGAAAGGCUAUAUGAAUGUAGUGGGAUGGGCAGGUAUGGCUGCUUUGCUGAACAGCAAUAGUACUUGCUGGUACUACUCACGGGCGUUUUCUUCUAAUCACUCUGUGAUGUUCUUAGAUUCAUAUGUGUGUCUACUGCAGACUCCUGAUUUUGUUCUUUCUUCAUUAGCCUGGUGAUGGUACAGCUUUGGCAGCUGAGUCGUCAUCCCUUGCCCACUUUCACUGAACCGAGAAGCUCAGUCAACACAACUGCAAUGACCCAUGGACCUGCCCUGCCAUAAUCUGUUAAAUUACAAUACUGGAAGAGCACAUGAUUGACAGCCACCACACUCACUCCUAUACAAAGACAAACUAUAUACAUACACUUGGAUAUCAACUGGUAAAUGCAACUGGUGCAGGAGUAACUGGGACACAUGGGAAAGCAGGUAGUGUGCCCGUCACCUCCUCUUUGCUUACAGAAGUUGUUCCAAGCUCAAGCAGGCUGAACACCUGGGAAAAAUUAUUUGUCCCUUUUUUUUCUUUCCUGAUAUUUAUCAGCGUAGUCAUCUCCCAUGGCUAUAUAAAGUGUUGUUAUUUGCAGGCACAUUAGGGAGCCCCUGUCCACGUCUAACUUUGGGUUUUCCAUCUUGCCCUUUUUUGUGUGAAUGCAAGCGUUAAUGUAACUAGGCAGGCUGGAAAUACUCCCACUCUGUUGGUUUGUAGUAUUUCCACUGUACAGAUGGCACUGUAGAAAUAGUGGACGGUGGGUUUGGUGGCCAGUUGCAGUGGUGAAGAAAUGCUGUGAUUUUACAUGUAAACCUUAGGCUGAAAUGUAUUUGUGGAAUGGGCUUACUACCAAGCUUCAGUUGACAUAAAAUUGUUAAUAAAAAUCUAUUAUAUUAUUUUUUCCCCCCUUUUUCCUCUUUCAGUAACAUCUAGAGUGUGCACCUGGAAUUGUCUAGACACAAAGGCUGGUCUGAGCCCUAUCCCAGGAAGCCUGGAGCCUAAAACUAUUUCAGCAUGCAAGUACUUAACCAAUGGAGCCUAGGGUGGAGAAAGGCCACAACACCGACCUUCCCUGUUGGUCCUGAGUCCAUCGCCAAAUCCCUGUAGUCCACCCCUGGCAAGAGUGUGGGUGAGAACGCAAUGCCAAUGUUGUGCUACCUUGCCAUUGCUUUUUUCCAAAUCAUAGAACUUUCAUCCAGAAGUUCUGUAGUUGCUGUUUCAAUUCUUCCUUCCUGCUCAGUUUCUAGCUCAUCUCUUCAUGGGCUGUAGGACAGGUCUUGUUACUUUGCACAUUUUAAGUACAAAUAACCCACAGUUCAGCAGAUAAUACAGCUCUUGUAUAUUACAUCCAUUAUCAGUCCUGGAAUACCAGUUUUUGUUCUGUGUUGACUUUUUCCAUUCUCUAAAUGUGAUGUAGUUUCUUUAUUGCUACUGUUAAUCUCUUCCUAAUAUGAAUGAGGAUGACUGGUGGUAACUGAGUCUUCAGCAGGAAUGCUGUCUUUAUUUCCUUCACAUAAUCCAGCUGAUGGAGGAUGGAGGAAUCAGGACUACUUUUUUCCUCUCCCACCAGAAUCACAGCUGUGGUAGAGAUGGCUUUCAUAGAUGAGAAAACUGAGUGCUCAUUUGUUUUAACAAUGGACUAGCUGUUCCCCAUCCUAUUUGCAACCUCCCAAGAAUGACAUAGCUGGAUCUGCCCACUGAGGACAUGCUGUGAUGUUCAGGCACUGACAGGUUCUCGAAGAAUGCCUUGUCAUAGGAUAACUUCGCAAAAUACCCCAAACUACUGGAGCUAAAGCCAGCCUGCUCCCUUCAAGUGCGUACUUCCUGAGGCCAUUUGCCAAACCAGCAAGUCCUGCUGAACUUCAAACCCUUGUGCCAAUUUCCAUUGUAUUAACUGUAGCUUUGAGUUUGCCUGACCCAGGCCUGAAUGGAUCAAAGCCCCGUGGUAGCUGUCAAACACAAAUAAGCAUAACUCAAAGGGUGACCGCUCACCCCAGCAAUGGAAAAGCAGCAAAAUACUGCUCUGAAACCUGCAAAAGCCAAGCAGGUAGAGAGGCUUCCUGGAAAACUAUCAGCACUGUCUGAGCUGAAACCGGGACAUGGGGAGGGUGCAGUGCAGUGCUUGCUCAAGUGAUGGCAAAUAAUUGGGUGCAUUCUGAUACAUUGGCUAAACAUGGUCCUGUGAAAAGCAAACAAAAAUACUCAGCUGUGUUUUCUGUUUUGAUAAAGGAACUUGAGAAUAAGCUUCAGGAUUGAAGAAAACAUCCAUUUUUUUUGGUAUAUUUGUGGCUCCCUUUUCAGUCAACAUAAAUACAUUAAAACUGAAGAUUUUCAAA